CUUCAACGACCCCAACCACAGCGCCCGUUCACGAUCCUGACCGUAGGUGGCCAGCAGCGCCUGGGCCUC
rfam:Streptomyces sp. 769, complete genome.